rfam:Gossypium raimondii Chr04_contig_702, whole genome shotgun sequence.
AUGCUAAAAUCCAUGCAUCGGACAAGUCUUUAAAUCGUUCCCAAGCUUCAUAUAAUGUGUCAUCAUCUAAUUGCUGAAAAUAUGUGAUGUCAUUUCUAAGCUU